GCCCAGUUGGCGUAAUAGUAUCGCAUCAGAGUACUAAUUUCUGAGCGGUGUGGGUUCGACUCCCACCCUGGGCU